GACUUAAGCAUAUCAAUAAGCGGAGGAAAAGAAACCAACAGGGAUUGCCCUAGUAACGGCGAGUGAAGCGGCAACAGCUCAAAUUUGAAAUCUGGCUCCUUCGGGGUCCGAGUUGUAAUUUGCAGAGGGUGCUUUGGCGUUGGCGGCGGUCUAAGUUCCUUGGAACAGGACAUCACAGAGGGUGAGAAUCCCGUACGUGGUCGCCGGCCUUCGCCGUGUAAAGCCCCUUCGACGAGUCGAGUUGUUUGGGAAUGCAGCUCUAAAUGGGAGGUAAAUUUCUUCUAAAGCUAAAUACCGGCCAGAGACCGAUAGCGCACAAGUAGAGUGAUCGAAAGAUGAAAAGCACUUUGGAAAGAGAGUCAAACAGCACGUGAAAUUGUUAUAAGGGAAGCGCUUGCAGCCAGACUUGCCUGUAGUUGCUCACCUGGGCUCUUGCCCGGGGCACUCUUCUGCAGGCAGGCCAGCAUCAGUUUGGGCGGUCGGAUAAAGGCCUCUGACACGUACUUCCUUUCGGGGUUGACAUAUAGGGGAGGCGCAAUGCGACCAGCCUGGACUGAGGUCCGCGCAUCUGCUAGGAUGCUGGCGUAAUGGCUGUAAGCGGCCCGUCUUGAAACACGGACCAAGGAGUCUAACAUCUAUGCGAGUGUUUGGGUGUCAAGCCCGAGCGCGUAAUGAAAGUGAACGGAGGUGGGAACCCCUCGGGGCGCACCAUCGACCGAUCCUGAUGUCUUCGGAUGGAUUUGAGUAAGAGCAUAGCUGUUGGGACCCGAAAGAUGGUGAACUAUGCUUGAAUAGGGUGAAGCCAGAGGAAACUCUGGUGGAGGCUCGCAGCGGUUCUGACGUGCAAAUCGAUCGUCAAAUUUGGGCAUAGGGGCGAAAGACUAAUCGAACUAUCUAGUAGCUGGUUUCCUGCAGAAGUUCCCCUCCAGGAUUACUA
rnacentral:rRNA from 1 species